GUUGCGUCUUGGUUUGGUUGUAUUCUAUUAUUUGACAGCUUCUCUCUUCUUCCUCUUCCCCUUCUCUCUUUUCUUCUAGACUUGUACGAAUAAAUAAUAGCAAUUCGCAUCAUCUCCGAUCAUCUUCACCGUUUCUCAGAUGAAACCUAUUGGAAACGCGAUCCCAGUCAAUCUCUAAGGAGGAGGGGUUUCUUAUUUGUAUCUCCAGGUAACAGAUUUUGCAUAUUCCUGCUAUCUAUCUUUACAACAUGAAUACCUUCAGAAUCUUCAAGCUCGUAGGGGCUGCUGGUGUAGAAGAAUCUCAUAUAUUCUCAAGUUUGCGAUGGAUUCGAUUCAGUAAUCUAACAUCCUAGAUCGGAGAUUAAUGGAAUCGGCUGCAAUUAGCCAGCCUUGUUGGGUAUAGUCAUCUCUUGGAGGUAAAAAAACUCAGCAACAUUUACAUGGUCAAUCAUAGUCACAGGUUACACUCUCUAAACAACAUACUUGUGCUUACAACCAAAAAAUCCUAGGCGUUCCAAAUCCCUAACAACUUAAUUUUUUUCUUACAUUUUAGUGACAACAAUUUAGAGGAAGGCUCCCUUCCUCUUCUUAGCAAUCUCUUACGAGCACAACUGUUUCUUCUUAAAUCCAGAGUCCUUGACGACCAAAUCCUGAGUAUAUCAGACAGACAGACAGACAGAGUAUUUCUCUCAUCCCUGUGGCAUUGGAUGAUCAUGCGAAUAUGGUGGAUCUCCAUCUGAUGAGUUACAAGCAGAUAAAUCAAUUAUAUAGAUUCAAGAAGAAUGACCCAUAUUUCAACCUAUUCAUGUAUUUACAGGUUCCAAAACUAUUUCAGCUGAGAAAGUCUCUUCUUAUUAUUUCUAGCAUUAAGUUGGAAAUGAUUAUUGAGAUAUUAUCAUCAGGGCACAAAAAUUCAAUGGUUAUUAUUCUGAGGUUGCAAACGAAACGUAGCCUGCUUUUGUUAUGAUUA